UGAGCUGUAGCUAAAUUAAAGCAUUUCAUUUACACUGGAAGGAUCGUUACAUUAACGCAGUUUAA
rnacentral:tRNA from 1 species